rnacentral:rRNA from 1 species
UACGGAGGAUCCGAGCGUUAUCCGGAUUUAUUGGGUUUAAAGGGAGCGUAGGCGGGUUGUUAAGUCAGUUGUGAAAGUUUGCGGCUCAACCGUAAAAUUGCAGUUGAUACUGGCAUCCUUGAGUACAGUAGAGGUAGGCGGAAUUCGUGGUGUAGCGGUGAAAUGCUUAGAUAUCACGAAGAACUCCGAUUGCGAAGGCAGCCUGCUGGACUGUAACUGACGCUGAUGCUCGAAAGUGUGGGUACCAAACAGG